GAUGAACGCUGGCGGCGUGCCUAAUACAUGCAAGUCGAACGCAUAGCGAAAGGUGCUUGCACCUUUCAAGUGGGUGGCGAACGGGUGAGUAACACGUGGACAACCUGCCUCAAGGCUGGGGAUAACAUUUGGAAACAGAUGCUAAUACCGAAUAAAACUUAGUGUCGCAUGACCCAAAGUUAAAAGGCGCUUCGGCGUCACCUAGAGAUGGAUCCGCGGUGCAUUAGUUAGUUGGUGGGGUAAAGGCCUACCAAGACAAUGAUGCAUAGCCGAGUUGAGAGACUGAUCGGCCACAUUGGGACUGAGACACGGCCCAAACUCCUACGGGAGGCUGCAGUAGGGAAUCUUCCACAAUGGGCGAAAGCCUGAUGGAGCAACGCCGCGUGUGUGAUGAAGGCUUUCGGGUCGUAAAGCACUGUUGUAUGGGAAGAACAGCUAGAAUAGGAAAUGAUUUUAGUUUGACGGUACCAUACCAGAAAGGGACGGCUAAAUACGUG
rnacentral:rRNA from 1 species